ACCAGACUCCUACGGGAGGCAGCAGUGGGGAAUAUUGCACAAUGGGGGAAACCCUGAUGCAGCGACGUCGCGUGAGUGAAGAAGUAUUUCGGUAUGUAAAGCUCUAUCAGCAGGGAAGAAAUAGCGACCUUUGGGUCGCCAGACGGUACCUGAUUAAGAAGCCCCGGCUAACUACGUGCCAGCAGCCGCGGUAAUACGUAGGGGGCAAGCGUUAUCCGGAUUUACUGGGUGUAAAGGGAGCGUAGACGGCAGCGCAAGUCUGAAGUGAAAUGCCGGGGCUUAACCCCGGAACUGCUUUGGAAACUGUGCAGCUAGAGUGCAGGAGAGGUAAGUGGAAUUCCUAGUGUAGCGGUGAAAUGCGUAGAUAUUAGGAGGAACACCAGUGGCGAAGGCGGCUUACUGGACUGUAACUGACGUUGAGGCUCGAAAGCGCGGGUAUCGAACAGGAUUAGAUACCCGAGUAGU
rnacentral:rRNA from 1 species